rnacentral:lncRNA from 1 species
UGGAAAAUGAAUUUUUAAUAUGAGAAUGAUGUGGCAAUGAGAAUUGGGGACAUGUUUCAAAUUUGGGUUUCAUUUUCUCAUUUUCAGAUUUGUAAUAUGAGGAACAUUUGAAAGAGAACCUCUGAGCGCGAAAGCUAGAGAGGAAGAGACUUGUCUUCUCUCCACCCUGCCACCGUUGUCGCCGGAAUGUCGCCGUACUGCCCGCGUUCGUAGGCAAAACCAAGAAGGUGUCGUCUUCCUUCCACCUAGCUACCCAGUGUCGUCGGAGUGCCGCCGUUUGUACGCAAAACCUAUACAGUCUCGUCUUCCCUCC